rnacentral:rRNA from 1 species
UGGGGAAUAUUGCACAAUGGGGGAGACCCUGAUGCAGCGACGCCGCGUGGGUGAAGGAGUAUUUCGGUAUGUAAAGCCCUAUCAGCAGGGAAGACAAUGACGGUACCUGACUAAGAAGCCCCGGCUAACUACGUGCCAGCAGCCGCGGUAAUACGGAGGAUGCGAGCGUUAUCCGGAUUUAUUGGGUUUAAAGGGUGCGUAGGCGGAAUGUCAAGUCAGCGGUCAAAUCGCGGGGCUCAACCUCGCUUCGCCCGUUGAAACUGGUGUUCUUGAGUGGGCGAGAAGUAUGCGGAAUGCGUGGUGUAGCGGUGAAAUGCAUAGAUAUCACGCAGAACUCCGAUUGCGAAGGCAGCAUACCCGGCGCCCAACUGACGCUGAAGCACGAAAAGCGUGGGUAUCGAACAGGAUUAGAUACC